rnacentral:ncRNA from 2 species
CUCUGGUUUAACACUAUAUGUUGUAAUUUUAACAGCCAAACCUCCACAGCAUAAAGUAUCGGGAAUCCGGUGAGACUCCGGAACUGACGCGCAGCGGUAUUGGGGAACAAGCGUGGCAUCAAGACACUGGCGCAAGCCGGGAAGUCGCCACACGAGGCCGAAUCGAACGAUUCACGCCCCUGAGUCCGAAGACCUGCCAGGGAAACAA